AUUAAUGUAGUGGUAAAAAUAGGUUCAGUUUCUGUCCUUUUGUUUCCUAUGUUCCAGUAAACGUUUCCCACUUUUAUCCACUUCACUACUUCUACCGGGAGUUGUCUGACGCGUGUUGCAAUGGAAAUAAAACGUAUUAUUGUUGUUGCUCUUGUUGAAUUUAUUUACAAAUUAAAUUAACAUAAAACUGCAAUAAUAAACAAAAACAAUAUUAAAGUCCAUUUAAACUUUUCCAGAUUCCACAGGCCCACUUUGGUUGUGCAAAACACGCAAUGACCGUUUCCGCUCGCACCCCCCUACUCCCGCGGGCCCGCCUCACCGCACCAUCUUAAAUAUAAUUUAUUCCCCCUUCUCCUAUAGAGGGACACACUCAUAAAAUAAUCAAUGCACACUAAACAAUAAAUAACAAAUACAUGAUAAAUUCCAUUAUAAUUUAAAUUGUAUCGUAAAACAGAAUAAACAAAUGCCAUAAUAGUUUUUUGGGGUUCUUAUUAUAAUUACUAUAAACCAACAUAAUUAAUAUAACAUUGAGAGUAAUAAUGCCAAAAGAUGGCAGGGUAAAAUGUUUUUGAAGUAAUAAUUCUAUCUCCUGUAUCUGCAUCUUUUUUAAAAGAAUCCAGUGGCAAACUCCUCCACUUAAAUGUGCAUUUUACUAGUUUUUACAGUUGCUUUCAUUCAUUUUCACAAGAGUUCCAAUGUGCAAAUUUCUGUGGGCAAAUGCAGCUGAUAGGGAGAAUGCAGAAUGAUCACUGCAGUGUACUUAUUUCCUUUCAUUACUGUAAACAAUGAUGGAUUGAGUUUCCUUAUUAAUUCUGUUAGGAUUGUUUUUUUCCCCCUUAAUUUUCUGUAUUUUCAGACAAUAAUAUGCAAUGAUUAAACCUGAAUUAUAAAAAUA